AGGGAAAGGCGAAAAGAACCCCGGCGAGGGGAGUGAAAAAGAACCUGAAACCGUGUACGUACAAGCAGUGGGAGCACCUUCGGGUGUGACUGCGUACCUUUUGUAUAAUGGGUCAGCGACUUAUAUUCUGUAGCAAGGUUAACCGUAUAGGGGAGCCGCAGGGAAACCGAGUCUUAACUGGGCGUUAAGUUGCAGGGUAUAGACCCGAAACCCGGUGAUCUAGCCAUGGGCAGGUUGAAGGUUGGGUAACACUAACUGGAGGACCGAACCGACUAAUGUUGAAAAAUUAGCGGAUGACUUGUGGCUGGGGGUGAAAGGCCAAUCAAACCGGGAGAUAGCUGGUUCUCCCCGAAAGCUAUUUAGGUAGCGCCUCGUGAAUUCAUCUUCGGGGGUAGAGCACUGUUUCGGCUAGGGGGUCAUCCCGACUUACCAACCCGAUGCAAACUACGAAUACCGAAGAAUGUUAUCACGGGAGACACACGGCGGGUGCUAACGUCCGUCGUGAAGAGGGAAACAACCCAGACCGCCAGCUAAGGUCCCAAAGUCAUGGUUAAGUGGGAAACGAUGUGGGAAGGCACAGACAGCCAGGAUGUUGGCUUAGAAGCAGCCAUCAUUUAAAGAAAGCGUAAUAGCUCACUGGUCGAGUCGGCCUGCGCGGAAGAUGUAACGGGGCUAAACCAUGCACCGAAGCUGCGGCAGCGACACUAUGUGUUGUUGGGUAGGGGAGCGU
rnacentral:rRNA from 1 species